rnacentral:rRNA from 1 species
AUACGGAGGGGGUUAGCGUUGUUCGGAAUUACUGGGCGUAAAGCGUACGUAGGCGGACUGGAAAGUUGGGGGUGAAAUCCCGGGGCUCAACCCCGGAACUGCCUCCAAAACUUCCAAUCUAGAGAUCGAGAGAGGUGAGUGGAAUUCCAAGUGUAGAGGUGAAAUUCGUAGAUAUUUGGAGGAACACCAGUGGCGAAGGCGACUCACUGGCUCGAUACUGACGCUGAGGUGCGAAAGCGUGGGGAGCAAACAGGAUUAGAAACCCUAGUAGUCC